UACGGAGGGAGCAAGCGUUACUCGGAAUUAUUGGGCGUAAAGGGCGCGUAGGCGAUCUGACAAGUCUGGUGUGAAAGCCCACAUGUUAACUGUGGAAGUGCAUUAGAAACUGUUGGAUUUGAGUUCAGGAGAGGAAGGCAGAAUUCCAGGUGUAGCGGUGAAAUGCGUAGAUAUCUGGAGGAAUACCGGUGGCGAAGGCGGCAUCCUGGACCGAGAUUACACUGAUGAGCGAAAGCCAGGGGAGCAAACGGGAUUA
rnacentral:rRNA from 1 species